rnacentral:rRNA from 1 species
UACGGGGGGGGCAAGCGUUGUUCGGAAUUACUGGGCGUAAAGGGGUUCGUAGGUGGCCAACUAAGUCAGACGUGAAAUCCCUCAGCUUAACUGGGGAACUGCGUCUGAUACUGGUUGGCUUGAGUGCAGGAGAGGAACGGCGGAAUUCCGGGUGUAGCGGUGGAAUGCGUAGAGAUCCGGAGGAAGACCGGUGGCGAAGGCGGUCUGCUGGGCAGUUCUGACACUGAUGCGCGACAGCGUGGGGAGCAA